rnacentral:rRNA from 1 species
AUGAUGCUCAUGGGCAGCUUAUCUCUUAUUGGAUUUCCUUUUCUAACAGGAUUUUAUUCUAAAGAUGUGAUCUUAGAGCUCGCUUACACAAAGUAUACCACAAGUGGGAACUUUGCUUUCUGGUUGGGAAGUGUCUCUGUCCUUUUCACUUCUUAUUACUCCUUUCGUUUACUAUUUCUAACAUUUCUAGUACCAACUAAUUCAUGUUGGAUGAUGCACCCAUUCGCCAUUCCUUUAAUACUUUUGGCUCUCGGGAGUCUCUUUGUAGGAUACUUGGCCAAAGUGUGA